AUUGAACGCUGGCGGCAUGCCUUACACAUGCAAGUCGAACGGCAGCGCGGACUUCGGUCUGGCGGCGAGUGGCGAACGGGUGAGUAAUACAUCGGAACGUACCCUGUUGUGGGGGAUAACUAGUCGCAAGAUUAGCUAAUACCGCAUACGACCUGAGGGUGAAAGUGGGGGACCGCAAGGCCUCACGCAGCAGGAGCGGCCGAUGUCUGAUUAGCUAGUUGGGGGGGUAAAGGCCCACCAAGGCGACGAUCAGUAGCUGGUCUGAGAGGACGAUCAGCCACACUGGGACUGAGACACGGCCCAGACUCCUACGGGAGGCAGCAGUGGGGAAUUUUGGACAAUGGGGGCAACCCUGAUCCAGCAAUGCCGCGUGUGUGAAGAAGGCCUUCGGGUUGUAAAGCACUUUUGUCCGGAAAGAAAUCGCGCUGGUUAAUACCUGGCGUGGAUGACGGUACCGGAAGAAUAAGCACCGGCUAACUACGUGCCAGCAGCCGCCGCCG
rnacentral:rRNA from 1 species